UAAGUUGGGCACUCUAGUGAGACUGCCGGUGACAAACCGGAGGAAGGUGGGGACGACGUCAAAUCAUCAUGCCCCUUAUGACCUGGGCUACACACGUGCUACAAUGGAUGGUACAACGAGUCGCGAGACCGCGAGGUUAAGCUAAUCUCUUAAAACCAUUCUCAGUUCGGACUGUAGGCUGCAACUCGCCUACACGAAGUCGGAAUCGCUAGUAAUCGCGGAUCAGCAUGCCGCGGUGAAUACGUUCCCGGGCCUUGUACACACCGCCCGUCACACCAUGAGAGUUUGUAACACCCAAAGCCGGUGGGGUAACCU
rnacentral:rRNA from 1 species